AGCGGCGGACGGGUGAGUAACGCGUGGGUAACCUACCUCAUACAGGGGGAUAACAGUUGGAAACGGCUGCUAAUACCGCAUAAGCGCACAGUACCGCAUGGUACCGUGUGAAAAACUCCGGUGGUAUGAGAUGGACCCGCGUCUGAUUAGCUAGUUGGUGGGGUAACGGCCUACCAAGGCAACGAUCGGUAGCCGGACUGAGAGGUUGAACGGCCACAUUGGGACUGAGACACGGUCCAG
rnacentral:rRNA from 1 species